rnacentral:tRNA from 1 species
GUCGGUGUGAUGGAAUUGGCAGACGUGCUGGACUCAAAAUCCAGUGGUAGCAAUACCGUGCGGGUUCGACCCCCGCCACCGGCA